CUCAUUGGCUGCGGUGGUGGACUCAAUCAAUCUCGCCUGCGUUGUAGUGUCGCGGGAUUGGCUGUCGCUGGUUCCAGCCUUUUUCUACUCCCCUCCCCCAGGGGGCAGUUUCUCCGGGAUUAAGCGAGAGUCGCGGCGGAAAAGGCCCAGCCGGAACGAGAUUUACGGCGGGGGAGUCCUGGAGCAGGAAGUGCGCAUGCGUAGAUGGAGCAAAACCGCCUCUCCACCCGUCUCCCUUCACCAUCGACCCUUGGGUCCAGCAAGGAAGCCCUAAGUGACGUCAACCUUUGUUCCCAUGGUAACGCAGAACCUUGGGGCGGGAGCAGGGGAGGGGCUGGCGCGCGCCGGAAAACCGGCUCAGUUGACGCUGCAGGUAAAAAGACUUCCUGUUUUUUUGGAAAAAAAAAAAAAAAAAAAAAGUGACCCAAAAAGCUACGAAUAGAGACGACUUAUCGAAGGAUUUAAAACAGUAUUUGAACUGAUGCAACAACAUAUUAGAUGAAAGGUAACAGAAGGUUGUCAGUUCAAAAAUUACAAAUACACACUUCUAUUGGAAUCUCCACGGAGUUCAGAGGAUUUAAUUAAAUGAUCUUAAAAUCGUAUAAAACAAUAACUACGGCCGGGCGCGGUGGCUCACGCCUGUAAUCCCAGCACUUUGACAGGCCGAGGCGGGCGAAUCACAAGGUCAGAAGGUCGAGACCAGCCUGACCAACAUGGCGAAACCCCGUCUCUACGAAAAAUACAAAAAUUAGUUGGGUGUAGUGGUGCACUCCUGCAAUCCCAGCUUCCCAGGAGGAUGAGGCAAGAGAAUCGCUUGAACCCGGGAGGCGGAGGUUGCAGUGAGCCGAGAUGGGGCCACUGCACUUCAGCCUGGGUGACAGAGCGAGACUGUCAAAAAUAAAAAUAAAAAUAACUACUACAGUACUGGGAAAACUUUACAAGACGGAGCAGGAGCUUGCCUUUCCAGAUGACAAACAUAGUAUAUAAAACACAAUAGGCCAGUGCCAAGGCACUGGGAGGCCAAGGCGGGGGGAUCACCUGAGGUCAGGAGUUCGAGACCAACCUGACCAACACGGUGAAACCCCCGUCUCUACUAAAAGUACAAAAAUUAGCCGAGCGUGGUGGCAGACGCCUAUAAUCCCAGCUUCUCAGGAGGCUGAGGCAGGAGAAUUGCUUGAACCCAGGAGGCGGAGGUGUAGUGAGCUGAGAUCGCACCACUGUACUCCAGCCUGGGCAACAGCAUGAGACUCCGUCUCAAAAACAAAAAACCACAAUAAUAAAACAAUAUGAUAUUGUUGGUAGGAAAGACACAUUAGUGCAACAGAAUCCGGAAAUACCACAAAUGUAGUAUUUUAUUUCAAUCAGGAAAAGAUGAUUUCGUUGAUAAAUGGCGUAGAAUCUUAAAUUUAAACAACAAAACAUUUAGAAUAUAAUUUAGGAGACUAUAAGGGUAUUCUAGGGGUUGAGAGACUGCAAAGACAGGAACCUCAAACUGUAAAAAGAUAUACUUGAUUACCCCGAAAAUUAACACUGAUAAAAGUCAAGAGACAAUGAUAGAUGAGGAAAAAAUAUUUGCCAUACAUGAUAAAGAGCCAAUACCUGUAAUAUACAAAUACAUCUUAAAAACUAAUUAGAAAAAAGGCAAAAACAAUAGAAAAUGAGCAAAAAAUAGGAAUGGACAUGUCUCAGAAGAACAAAUCCAAAUAGCCAAGAAAUAUGAAAGGGUGCACAACCCCUCUGCUGUGGUUUUUUAAAAUAAAUAGAAAAGAUGUUGGAACCCCCACAACACUUGAAACCUGGAGAGAGAGGUGACUGUGAUCUCAGCCAUGUAUGGUUAUAAUUUUUUCUGAGAUAAUAAAUUAGACCUGCUUGUUUUUCUUGUUCUGUACAAUUAUUGGAGAGAAUUAAACAUGGGACAAAAACCUGCUGCCUUCUUAAUGACCCUUCUUAUAGAUAACUUCCCUUUUGUUGUCCUGCUUUACUUAGACCAGAUGACAGCAAACCCAUGACUAUUACACCCUCUGUAAAAAAUGUUAAAUGUAUGCCUCCCAAAAAGAAACACUGCUUACAACCAAAUUAUUUAUUAUUAUUAUUUCAAUUUGAGACAGAGUCUGGCUCUGUCGCCCAGGCUGGAGUGCAAUGGCACAAUCUCGGCUCACUGCACCCUCUGCCUCCCAGAUUCAAGCGAUUCUCCCACCUCAGCCUCCUGAGUAGCCGGGAUUACAGCCACCUGCCAUCAUGCCCAGCUAAUUGUUACAUUUUUGUAAAGAUGGA
rnacentral:lncRNA from 1 species